rnacentral:lncRNA from 1 species
UGUGUGCUGAAUGUGAUCAAGCACAUCCUGUUUGCAUCUUGUUUUGUACUGUUUUCACGCUGGUGGAAUGUACCUAGAGAGCCCAUUAGAAGUGGGGCUCUCUAGCAUACCUUCUGAUGCUGCGCUUGGAAGACAUGACGACAGCAAGCUGUGUAGUUUAUUGUACUCACAGGACAUCUUUGGCACUGAAUUUGUUGUAUUAUCAGGGGAAAGCACAAUGCAAAGAAUAAAUGGUGCAUGGAUUAUAAAGUGAUUUUGUCUUCUGAGCAUGGCCACACCAUGGAGAGCAGCCUUCUCUCUUGGACUGAUACAAUGAUCUUCACUUUGAGAGAAGAAACAGACAUUUCUAACAGUAGAGAGACUUCACAAGUACUGGUGCUGCUCCAGCUUGGUGUCGAGGAAGGCAGUUCUAAAUGGAUUCUGUAUCCAGGAGAGUAUAUUCCAACGUUGAGCACGUUAGCUGCAUGCACAAACAAGAUGAAGACAACAAGCACUCCAGAUUAUUAUAUUCCAAGAAAAGCCUGUUUUAAUGGAACCUGCCUCUGUUAUGUGCUAACCUGA